rnacentral:rRNA from 1 species
UACGUAGGGUGCGAGCGUUGUCCGGAAUUAUUGGGCGUAAAGAGCUCGUAGGCGGUUUGUCACGUCUGCUGUGAAAUCCCGAGGCUCAACCUCGGGCCUGCAGUGGGUACGGGCAGACUGGAGUGCGGUAGGGGAGAUUGGAAUUCCUGGUGUAGCGGUGGAAUGCGCAGAUAUCAGGAGGAACACCGAUGGCGAAGGCAGUUCUCUGGGCCGUAACUGACGCUGAGGCGCGAAAGCUAGGGGAGCGAACAGG